UCAAUCUGAAGCUUCAGACCACAUUUCUUUUUUCCGAAGCCUUCAAAAGCUUUAUAUUGGUUUUGUUGUAACACAAACAAAUCCCACCACCCACCAAAACCUCCCUGCAGAUUGAUCAUUGACCAUGGAACAAAAAGAGAAGAACAAGAAGAUCAAGAAGCAAAAACACCAGCACCCAAAUGGCCAAUCCACCAAACCGAGCUUAGACUUAUCUUUCAAGCCGAGCUCCGACGUCAAGGGCCUCCGGUUCGGCGGCCAGUUCAUCGUAAAAUCCUUCACGAUCCGGCGGGCUCGGUCUCUCGAACUACUUCAACUCCUUUCUUUUCCACCAACGAUUAAUACCAAACCCAACAACAACAACAACAAAAAACUCCCAUUUCCUUCAACCACAGCCUUCUUGCCCACCAACUUCACCAUCUUGGCACACCAUGCCUGGCACACCCUCACGCUAGGCCUUGGAACGAAGAAAUCCAAAGUUCUUGUAUUCGUCUUCGAAACAGAGACCAUGAAGACGGCUACAGACCGCAUUUGGCCAUCGGAGAUACCGCUCGGAGAAGUGAACAAAAGGCUUAUCAGGGGGUUGACUGGGUGCGAGAUGGCAAGGUUCAAAUUUAGAAAGGGCUGCAUAACCUUUUACGUGUAUGCGGUUCGAAAAGUGGGCUGCUUCGGCUUCUCCUGCGCUGAGGAUCUGAGGACAAUAUUACAGUCCGUGCUUGAGCUCAAUGAUUUCUUCGAUCAUACUGCCAUGCUUGCCAUGCCCAACCAAAGAAGCAUCAGUUUUGCGCCUCCGGUGGCCAUGGCAGCUAACUAGCACUGAGGCGGAUGUUUCUGGACUAUAUAUUCCGAGUUUGAAAGGGUAGCUCGCCGAACACUUCUCAUUUGGGAGUCAGGGCCUUGGUGCAGUAGUACUGGAUAUAUUAUUCUGGCCGGCCAAGUUGCCUUAGACGUUGGAUGAUGCCGUGAUGCGUGGUGAAGACUGCAGGGGAUGGAUGCGAUGAUAAUGAUGAUGGGCAUGGGCGAGCAUGGUGACUUGGUGAGGGAAAAGGCUGUUUAGCAUGAUGGAAAGUGAAGGGCCACCCUCCUCCAGUACCCCGGGAAUUAGGGUCUACAAAAGCUGAUCUGGGGAAAAGGAAAACAAUUCUUUUUCGUCUUCCCACCUCGAUCAGUGGCUUUAAUCAUGCCACCAGAAAGCCCCAUGCCAACCACCUUUAUCCACAGAAUAAGCUUUAAGUAAGGGUACGGUUCCAUGUUCAUAUCAUGGUAUAUCUCCUUGAAGAGAAAACAUGCUAUAUAUACGUACGAAAUAUCACGACGGUGCAUCCUUACCAAAACUUAGGAAGAGCCAAGGGCAUACAGCAUGAA